UACGGAGGGUGCGAGCGUUGUCCGGAAUCAUUGGGCGUAAAGGGCGCGUAGGUGGCCCGGUCAGUUCGUGGUGAAAGCGCGGGGCUCAACCCUGCGUCGGCCAUGAAUACUGCCGCGGCUGGAGCACUGUAGAGGCAGGCGGAAUUCCGGGUGUAGCGGUGGAAUGCGUAGAGAGUCCGGAAGAACACCGGUGGCGAGGC
rnacentral:rRNA from 1 species